AUGAACGCUGGCGGCGUGCCUAAUACCUGCAAGUCGAGCGCACGGACGAGAAGCUUGCUUUUCUGAUGUUAGCGGCGGACGGGUGAGUAACACGUGGAUAACCUACCUAUAAGACUGGGAUAACUUCGGGAAACCGGAGCUAAUACCGGAUAAUAUUUUGAACCGCAUGGUUCAAAAGUGAAAGACGGUCUUGCUGUCACUUAUAGAUGGAUCCGCGCUGCAUUAGCUAGUUGGUAAGGUAGCGGCUUACCAAGGCAACGAUGCAUAGCCGACCUGAGAGGGUGAUCGGCCACACUGGAACUGAGACACGGUCCAGACUCCUACGGGAGGCAGCAGUAGGGAAUCUUCCGCAAUGGGCGAAAGCCUGACGGAGCAACGCCGCGUGAGUGAUGAAGGUCUUCGGAUCGUAAAACUCUGUUAUUAGGGAAGAACAUAUGUGUAAGUAACUGUGCACAUCUUGACGGUACCUAAUCAGAAAGCCACGGCUAACUACGUG
rnacentral:rRNA from 1 species